AGGUUAAGCCAAUCCCACAAAUCUGUUCUCAGUUCGGAUCGCAGUCUGCAACUCGACUGCGUGAAGCUGGAAUCGCUAGUAAUCGCGGAUCAGCAUGCCGCGGUGAAUACGUUCCCGGGCCUUGUACACACCGCCCGUCACACCACGAGAGUUUGUAACACCCGAAGUCGGUGAGGUAACCUUUUAGGAGCCAGCCGCCGAAGGUGGGACAGAUGAUUGGGGUGAAGUCGGCCGUAUCGGAAGGUGCGGUUGGAUCCACCUCCA
rnacentral:rRNA from 1 species